GGACGGGAUGUUCUCUGAGGGUCCGCUGUUGGGGUUUUGUAAAGUUCAUCUCUGACGAUUAUACUGAAGAGAUGUACAUAAAGCAGAAGAUGCAGUGAGUUCAUUGAUGAGAGCCAACAAACAAGAUAACUGGAACUUAUGUGGAUGGAGCAACCGAGCUGACUGAACUUCAGAGAUGCUAUGGGUCAUCAACACCACCAUUCUUCAAACCUUUAAAAUAUCCUAGGACAACAACCAUCUUGCCGGAUCAUUCUCGCCCGGAGGGGACAACAUGUCCUGAGCGCAAUUGACCUUGCCAGGGUCAGGUCACGACCUGUGAUGCCACCCAGGUCAUACCAGAGGGAAGAGGUCAUCAAAGCAACGUACGAAGUAGGGGUCAAGGUGUAAUUCCCUAUGUGACCUAUUUGGCACGUGGAUCCAGCAGCUUUGGACGCUUCUAGUUUUUCCAACCAUUUUACGGUUUCUGUCCCCCACAGAUGGGAAGACAGUGUUUGCUGACAAAAAAAGUUGAGAGCUGUACAUGUGUACGUUCUUACGUGGGAGUAUUUUGACACCCUCUUUAAUUAGUGCCAGUUGCAAUAUUCCAGAUUCGGCAAUCGAUUGCAUUGUAGAACAGCUAGUAAAAACUCAACUGGAUAUUGAGAUGCAAACGACCCAAGUAAAGUCUGCCUCACAUGGACUUCUGCCUGAAAAAAGACAGAAGUGCUGCACUUCUUCACACAUGCGCCUUGAAAAGAGCCACCCCUGCGUAUCUCAAUUGACAGAAUGGAGUUGGUAUGCAGAUGAACAGUUUGGCUCUUUUGUAGCGGUAAUGCUUGACAGAGAUGUGGACAGUAAACUGAUCAAAGGAAACUCUGCUUGUGGCAGUGUUUACAAACUUGUCUUAACCAAGAACAUAAAGAAAUAUAGCAAUACAUGAGCAUGUACUGUCCAAAGCUAGUCUUGCGUCUUGUCUAUAUGGUGCGGAUACAUACUGGGUUGUCAGCCUUUGAUACCUGCUGCUCCUUUAGUGUGUUUCCAUUACUGUUGCUUCUACACUAAUGUGGACACAAACUGGACUGAUUUCAUCCGGGGCAGUAGAGGUCUUUAGUAUGUUGCAUGUUGAAUUGAGAAAGAUGUGUCUCCACGUUUCAGGAUCAUAACCUACUAAAGAUUGUUCAGUACACAGAACUAUGUACUUAUGAUCUUGACAGAGGAGCACUGUGGAAGAGAUAUGCAGACAUCUUAAAAAAUCUCUCAUCACUUGCUGCAUCAACCACUACUAGUGUGGAAGGCAAGCUGCUGAUGAUUGUGUUAGCUGGAGAUUGGCCUUGUCAACCAGGCCCCCUACUUCAAAGGCAGCCUCAAGCAUUGGCACAUAAUUGGAGAAGCAGCAGAUGUUAGAGAAACUGUGAUGUUUCAGCACUGUUUAGCAUAGGCUGUAUUAGCUACCAUACUACCUAAGUGCCUUUCAUGCAGACCUCCAGCUGACUCAGUGCUUGUGUACAGUCAUCACCAACAAAGAUGAUAUGAUGGAUGUGACUUGCAAUAGACUGAACUUCUGAUUCGUUUGUACAGGUUUCUGUGCUUGGCCACGUUACAGUGCCGUCAUCCAGCCUUCAAGCAUGGUUCA
rnacentral:lncRNA from 1 species